rnacentral:lncRNA from 1 species
GACUGCUGUUCUGUUCUGGAUCUUCCUCCUCUGCUCCCCGUGGUCUCUUCCUCUCGUCUCAGUCUCCUCCAACCUCGCAGCUCGCCCCUGCCAGAGACCUGUGGAGGUACAUUUCCUGUUGAUUUUUUUUUGCAGCUAAACUAGCAAUGCUUGGAUCUAAUGCUUGAGAGCCUGAUUUGUGUUGGUUAAAUCCAGGGGUGGCAGUGGAACCGUGGAGUUUCCAGUUAUUCAGAGCACCAUGCAUCCAAUCCACUAACUCACCCGGCUAGCCUGGUAAUUUGGUCUCAUCUUUCUUCUAUUCUGCUCUACUGAAAUCUUUCUCAACCACAGCUACUUAUUAAUCUGCUGAUUUCUUCUUGUUCUUCCAGAUCGAGUGAAGAUCAAAGGGGAUUUUGAUUGCUGCCGCCGCCGUCGCCGGAGAGAG